ACGCCCUUGGUGUAGUGUUAACACACAUCCAGUUUGUUGAUCAGUAACCAGGAACGUUACGGAUGAGUUCGAGGUUCGACUCCCUGAGGGUGCA